rnacentral:rRNA from 1 species
GGGGUACUCGAGCGGCGAACGGGUGAGUAACACGUGAGUAAUCUGCCCUUGGCUUCGGGAUAGCCACCGGAAACGGUGAUUAAUACCGGAUACGACACAUCGCUGCAUGGUGCGUGUGUGGAAAGUUUUUUCGGCCAGGGAUGUGCUCGCGGCCUAUCAGCUUGUUGGUGGGGUAAUGGCCUACCAAGGCUUCGACGGGUAGCCGGCCUGAGAGGGUGACCGGCCACACUGGGACUGAGACACGGCCCAGACUCCUACGGGAGGCAGCAGUGGGGAAUAUUGGACAAUGGGCGGAAGCCUGAUCCAGCAACGCCGCGUGAGGGAUGACGGCCUUCGGGUUGUAAACCUCUUUCAGCACAGACGAAGCGCAAGUGACGGUAUGUGCAGAAGAAGGACCGGCCAACUACGUGCCAGCAGCCGCGGUAAUACGUAGGGUCCGAGCGUUGUCCGGAAUUAUUGGGCGUAAAGGGCUCGUAGGCGGUUUGUCGCGUCGGGAGUGAAAACACCGGCGUUAACUCGGUGCUUGCUUUCGAUACGGGCAGACUAGAGGUAUUCAGGGGAGAACGGAAUUCCUGGUGUAGCGGUGAAAUGCGCAGAUAUCAGGAGGAACACCGGUGGCGAAGGCGGUUCUCUGGGAAUAUCCUGACGCUGAGGAGCGAAAGUGUGGGGAGCGAACAGGAUUAGAUACCCUGGUAGUCCACACCGUAAACGUUGGGCGCUAGGUGUGGGGUCCAUUCCACGGA